GAUGAACGCUGGCGGCGUGCCUAAUACAUGCAAGUCGAGCGAACAGACGAGGAGCUUGCUCCUCUGACGUCAGCGGCGGACGGGUGAGUAACACGUGGAUAACCUACCUAUAAGACUGGGAUAACUUCGGGAAACCGGAGCUAAUACCGGAUAAUAUAUUGAACCGCAUGGUUCAAUAGUGAAAGACGGUUUUGCUGUCACUUAUAGAUGGAUCCGCGCCGCAUUAGCUAGUUGGUAAGGUAACGGCUUACCAAGGCAACGAUGCGUAGCCGACCUGAGAGGGUGAUCAGCCACACUGGAACUGAGACACGGUCCAGACUCCUACGGGAGGCAGCAGUAGGGAAUCUUCCGCAAUGGGCGAAAGCUUGACGGAGCAACGCCGCGUGAGUGAUGAAGGUCUUCGGAUCGUAAAACUCUGUUAUUAGGGAAGAAAAAAUGUGUAAGUAACUAUGCACGUCUUGACGGUACCUAAUCAGAAAGCCACGGCUAACUACGUG
rnacentral:rRNA from 1 species